UACGGAGGGUGCAAGCGUUAUCCGGAUUCACUGGGUUUAAAGGGUGCGUAGGUGGGUUGAUAAGUCAGUGGUGAAAUCCCUGAGCUUAACUUGGGAACUGCCAUUGAUACUAUUGAUCUUGAAUACCGUGGAGGUCAGCGGAAUAUGUCAUGUAGCGGUGAAAUGCUUAGAUAUGACAUAGAACACCAAUUGCGAAGGCAGCUGGCUACGCGAAUAUUGACACUGAUGCACGAAAGCGUGGGGAUCAAACAGG
rnacentral:rRNA from 1 species